rnacentral:lncRNA from 1 species
UUGUCUCAGCGGAAUGGACUUCUCUUAAUAUAAAGGUUUCCAGAAUACUCUGUCAGAAUGAAGGACACAUUUCCAAUAGAGCUGAGUAUUACUCAGUUUUAACUAACAGCCCUAGACGUGGGAUAGCAGCUGCUCGGAUGCGCAGAAGCUGAAUAGGAUGAAUAAGAGAAACCGCUUUGUAAUAUAUUCUCCUCCAGGUUCUUCCUGCAAGGAUCUGGGAUCAAUCCUCUUGUUUCUGUAACCUCCCGCCUCAUCACCGAGGAGACCUGCACAGAUUCACUGUCUUGUGGAAUCUCCAUGGCGACAUGCACUUCAGUUCUUUGAAAACAUGAGUUAUAGUGGUAUUUGGGGCUUGCUUAUUUGUUUGUUUGUUUAUUUAUUUAUUUAUUUAUUUAUUUAUUUAUUUAUUUAUUUAUUUAUUUAUUUAUGGUACUCCAGGGAGAUGAAGCAAUUGGAAAGGAUUCAUUCCUUAACCAGCUUCCAUUGCCAGAGAUAAACCUCAAGAGUUUUAACCCAGCAGGUUACCCUCAUCUUGAAAAGGUCUUGGCCAAUGCAUAUCCUGAUUUUAUGGUUAAGACACACAGUCCUUGAAGGUUUGUAAACAGGAGCACAAUACACUGGAAUCCUGCAUCUCUGAGUAUAAGUCUGGGGUAUGUGCGCUUGCAUAUUCUUAUCCCUUGUGAAAGAGGAAAUAAUUAGAAAAUGAGAGUAAAGAGAAAACAAAACUUUCUUUAAAAAUGCCUGUAUUGCUCUUUGGGAAAUUAUUUAGGUUGUCUCCAACAUGAAACAUCCAUGUGUUUAAUAUAUGACCUUGAAAGGCAUGAAGGAGAGAAUAAAUGUAAACUUCAAAUUUCUGCCAUCAGAAACCAAAGGCUUUGGGGUAUUUACUUCUAGCCACAAUUUAUCUGCAUACUUUUAAAAUACACUUAUGCUGUGGUCUUCAAUAUUGGUGGUUUUUUUAAUUUAUUAAAUCAAAAUCAUUUUUAAAUGCUUCUAGAUUGUCCUAUCAAAACUGGGGAGGGGCAGGGCACUCACAAUGACAGAUCGGGUAAGCUACAAAAUCACUUGGCAAUACAGAAAGGCUGACACUUCAGGGCUGAGCAGAGCCACAAAUGGAAUGCGUCUAUUGGUACUUCUUCCCUUUUUAGGGUCAUUUAAAUUCUGCAGGUAUAAAUGGCUUAUGCAGGUAGUUUGUUCUGAGCAGAGGCUAAGAGAGACACCCAAGAAUCAUGUAUCAUGAAUUGUCUAAGUCAGAAUGGAAGGACUAGAAAGCAGCAACGUGUUGGGACAAACAGAAAAAUACUUGACUGCGUAUAGUGAUGGUGUGCCCUUCAGUGGUACUUUCUUUGGACACCUCCGAAGGGUUUCAAACAGGAAGGACCCAAUUCUCCGGAAGACGUGUUUUGCCUGGGGAUGUUUAUCUCAGAACCUGAGUUCUGUACAGUUCUGUAUCUCCGUUACCUGAGCCAGGCACAAACUUGGGUGAAAUCCUGUAGUGAUCUUGAGGUGGGUGCCUCUGCUUUGUUCUAUGGCCGAAGAGAGAUAGUAAGACCAUAGCAAGCCAAGUUUUAUUUGGAAGAUCGGUAGUGAAAACAGUUUGUAAUCUGAACUGAUGAAGCAUUAUGGCUGCACAAAUAACUAAAAAUAUAGGGCCUAGAAAAUCAGUACCAUGGUCUCCAGCUAGGGUUACUCACAUGACAUUAUUUAAUGAUGAGAAGCUGUGUAUUCCACAGGCAUUGGUAGGCAAUAUAAUUAGAAGAAUGCUUUGCCAGCGAUACAACUAGGAGUGAACUAAUUUAUGAUUUAUUUUUAAGUGACUAGGACCCUUAAUUUAUCUACCAGGACAUCACUGAGGUAAAAAUAAAAAUAAUAAUAAUAAUAAAUUUUAAAAUAAGCAUUGCAAAUGCAGUGGCAUUGAAGUACUAAACAGGAACUUAAAAAGCAACAGAAACAAUUAUGGCUAAUGAAGUAGAUUAAUUGACUAAUUGGUGUUUCCAUGUGUAAUUGUUCCUGCAAUUAUGAUUCACUUGCCGCUUUCUAUACUGCUAUUCUCUAAACAUAUCCUGACAUGGAGUGGAGGUAGAAGACAUUGGCAGUUUGGGAGAUCUAUUGAGCAAAGGAUUUUUACCUUAAAGUGAGAAGGCAGGACAUCAAAGCACACCUGACGAGAGCUGAGGAAACUGUACUCAGCAUCAUCUCCUCGACUUUGACCAACCUGAUGGACUUUCAUCUUCUAAUGGGCACUUAUCUAAUCUAUAAAAUGACAGGGUAUGGUUUCAGCCUUAAAACAGGAUUAGCCAGUCCAAAUCACAACUGCCCGUGCCUUUAACGUUUUAAGGAGAAAUGAUGUAUUGAUCAUGCACGAGAUUCUAUUUUCAUUCCAGACAAAUUCACCUUCCAUGCAAAUAGACUGCCUGGCGGCUGUUCCAGGGUGCUGUGUAGGUAAAUAACUGUGGGGGACACUGUUUCCCUAAGAAUUACAACAACAUUUGAAAACAAAAACAUGUUGCUUUCCCCAGGAAUGUAAAUCUCAGACUGUGCUCAAGUCUGAAGAGAAAUAUGAUGGCCAAGGAAAAAUAAACUCUAAAAAUAAGAUUCAAACCUAAACGAUGUGCACAGUAACUAGACUUACUCAAAACACACUCUAGAAAUACAUUCCUUUUUAUUUUUUAACUGAAAAUAAUUUUUUGUACAGUAUAUUUUGAUCAUCAUUUUUCCUCCCUCAUCUCCUCCAAGAUCCUCCCCCUACCUCCUAACCUGUCCAAAUCCACACCUUUCCCUCUGUCUUUAUUGAUGGUCUGUUUGAUUUCAUGAUGCCAAAGAUUUAAUUGUGUGCUUGUGUGUGUGUGUGUGUGUGUGUGUGUGUGUGUGUGUGUGUGUGUGUGUGUGUGUGUGUGGUGAGACUAUGCCACAUGUGCCCAGAUGCCCAUGGAGGUUGGAAGAAGACAUCUUCCUGUAACUGGAGUUGUGGGUGCCAGCAACUUAAGUCCCUUGGAAGAAUAUACCAUGGGCCCUUAACUCUAAAAUGUAAUGUUUUAGUUAUUUGAGAAGUUCAUGCAAUGUAUUUUGACCACAUUCAGGCCCCACUCCUUUCCUAACUCUUCUCAGACCAAUUCUCAACUGCACGUUACUUCCAAUAUCAUGUUCUCUUUUU